UCGCGGCCUAUCAGCUUGUUGGUGAGGUAAUGGCUCACCAAGGCGACGACGGGUAGCCGGCCUGAGAGGGCGACCGGCCACACUGGGACUGAGACACGGCCCAGACUCCUACGGGAGGCAGCAGUGGGGAAUAUUGGGCAAUGGAGGGAACUCUGACCCAGCGACGCCGCGUGCGGGAUGAAGGCCUUCGGGUUGUAAACCGCUUUCAGUGGGGACGAACCAAGACGGUACCCACAGAAGAAGCCCCGGCCAACUACGUGCCAGCAGCCGCGGUAACACGUAGGGGGCAAGCGUUGUCCGGAUUCAUUGGGCGUAAAGAGCUCGUAGGCGGUUCGAUAAGUCGGGUGUGAAACCUCCAGGCUCAACCUGGAGACGCCACCCGAUACUGUUGUGACUAGAGUCCAGUAGGGGAGCGUGGAAUUCCUGGUGUAGCGGUGAAAUGCGCAGAUAUCAGGAGGAACACCAGCGGCGAAGGCGGCGCUCUGGGCUGGAACUGACGCUGAGGAGCGAAAGCGUGGGGAGCGAACAGGAUUAGAUACCCUGGUAGUCCACGCCGUAAACGUUGGGUACUAGGUGUGGGGUCUUAUCAACGGAUUCCGUGCCGAAGCUAACGCAUUAAGUACCCCGCCUGGGGAGUACGG
rnacentral:rRNA from 1 species